CACUCUGAAGUGAUGGGAGCAGAAGGCAGAUCGAGAUUGUGUUGCAACUAUGGAGUAAGAUCUAUAUUUAUAGUGUGAAGAGAAUUUGUACAGAAGCCACAGUUGUCUCUCUGCCUGGCGUGACAUAUCUGUUCUGCAAUAAUGUUGUGUAACCUUCUGAACAUCCAUAUGAAGAAUUGCUGUCCUAUUUCCCCAGGAGUCGCAAUAAAGAUUGGCAAAAGAAGUUCAUAACUUCUCCAGUAUCAGCCCCUCAACAAUUCACUAUCAACAGAGGUUACAGUGGAAAAUUGGUUUCCCCUAGCACAAAAACAAUGUGAUUGGAGGCAUUCAGUAUUUUUGAAAGAUGCUCUUUUUUUACAGGGCUUGACUAGAGAGUUGUAAAAUCUGAGUUAAGUUUGUAAAAUCUGUUGUAAAAUCUGAGUUCAGUUUUGGCUCUGCCAGAGAUUUCCUUAACUGUGCGUUCCUGAAAAAAGCAGGUGUUCCUCUGCCUCAGUUUUUCCAUGUGUGAAAUGCGCAGCUCUAUCUGAUUAAGCACUCUCAUUAGUGGUCCAGAUGUACUGGGAUAUUCAGGGACAGAAACCUUAUCAGUUCAUAAUUGCUUGAAUUCCAGCAGUGCUUUGCA
rnacentral:lncRNA from 1 species